GACAACUUGUCCGAGCGGUUAAGGAGAAAGACUUGAAAUCUUUUGGGUUUUCCCGCGCAGGUUCGAAUCCUGCAGUUGUCG
rnacentral:tRNA from 1 species